rnacentral:lncRNA from 1 species
AACAAUACGCGUACAACCAGCCAAAAUCCGAACUCAGCUCUGACCCGCGUCCAACGGCGACCCACGAACAACCCGACCCUAACCCGAAUCAGCUCCAACCACGACAAAUACGACAACAUCUCGAGCAACUCAGCUUAUUUUUGAAAUUUUGCAAUUCAAAUUCGUACCCAAAUGGUACCGUUUUCCAGCUCACCCUUAUCCUCUUAUCUGGAUUUGAAUUUUCCCAUUUUAUUUUAUUUUCCAAAACGCCCUUGGAAUGGCUAUCCCACAUCGGUGAUCAAGAAUCCAUCCCCCAUGUUAUUUGCUAUAAAUAGCUCAUCAUUGAGCCAAAAAUACUAAGUCUUGAAGGGGGAAAAUCUAAUUUCAAGCAACGAGUCAUUUUUUAGUAAAAGUUUUGUUCCCGAAAGAAGUCGACUAUUAUGACGUUUUCGGAGUCACUGCAAACGAUUGGAGUCGCUGCAAAGCUCUACCGGAGGUGGUUGAGAUUUCAGUGAAAACUCGAGUCCCAUUUUGUUGCUCCGAAAGAGGUAAGCUUUCUGACACUUUAUUUUUUGCAAUUUUGCUUCAUUUUUGUUAUCGUAAUGUAAUGUAGUUUUUCCUUUUCGUUGCUAGGUGUUCGCUGUAGAGGGCUUCAAUAGCCAUAGGAUCUGUUUUUAGUGGUGGUUGUUACGUUGCUUUGCUAGAUUGAUAGCCGUAUUUGUUCCACCAUCUAUUUCACACUCUUGAUUUUGGUGUUUUGAAUUCACUGUUUCGUUGAUAUGGUUGGGUCACUGUUUCAAUUUAAUCAUUGUUUUGUCAUUAGAAUUUGAUUAUCGUUUCGGUAUUAACUUUGUUUAGGGAGGAUUCCAUGUAUGAUUUUUUUCUGAUUUGUUGUAGGCUUAACGUCCUAAUCUUAUUAUCAGUGUUUAAUUUUGUUUCCAAAAAUCAUUGCAAUACUAGUUUGAUUAGCUAUCAGCAUAUUGUUUUCAUAUUCAACAUCAUGACCUGAUUUGCUUGUAUUUAAGCAGACUCUUUGUUGCAUUAAUUUUUAUGUGUUGCUUCAGUUAAGUGUUUUUAGUGGUUCACCUGAUUUCCCUGUCUUGUCUUGUAUUCAUCUUCAAAUUUUCGUGACCUAGUAGGAUAUUCGUCAAGUUCAUUUUAAUUAGAAAGUAAAUAAGCAAAAGGGGUCAAGAAAGGAGGGGGAAUAUGUCAUAAAAGUUCUUUAUUUUUACACCUGAUGUGUUAACAUUCUCAUGAUAUUGUAAUAUUAGUUUCGAUGUUCUAGGGCGAAUUUGCGGAUGUUCUUGUCGCAUAGAUAUUGCAAAAUUCACUAUGGGUAUCCUUUGUAGCAGAAACUUCUAUCUUCCAAUAUUGUAUUGCGCAAAUAGGCUACUUGUCUUUUCUUUCUUCUUUUUUUACCUAUUCUCCUCUAACUUGCGAAAAGUUGAAUUUUGUUGAAUCUUAGUUGCACACUAAUAAGCUUGAUAAUCUGUGGCAUAAGCUUCUUUGGUUGUGAUUCGCUAAUGUUCUUAUUCACUAUUUAUCCCUGCCUUUGCCUGUUUACUAAGUUUUUCGUAAGUCUUUCGGUUUAAUAUCUUUGUGUCACCAAAAUUUUCUAUAGCAUUAAAACAUAAUCUGUUAACUUUGUUUGCUCGCAAUUGUGAGAAUUUCCUAUAUUACCUUAUCCUCCCUGUUUAUUUGGAAAUCAUUGCUUGGUAUAAGUUCCUCUUCGGUUUUGCGAGCCAUUGCCUUCUCUACAUUUGUGUGUUCAGCCGCUAAUUUAGAACAUAUGUUAAUCACUUUGUUUUUCUUUUGCAUGUGUAUACGUUCGAGUCCUACAUGUACUCCUUUGCCUUUGCAUGUCUUUUAUGGGCCAUUGAGGCCCAAUAACCCCGAGUCGACCUCGAAAGACCAAGUUCAAAGACAAUCUCAUUGCAUAUUGACACGAGAAGAUAGAAGAGGAAGGAAAAUGGGCUAAAGUCCUAUCCUUGAAGCGGCUAAGAGACUUGAAAGUCUCGUUUCUUCAUUUAUUCAUUCGUAUUGUUGUCUUUAUUUAUUUAUUUCAUUGUUUAUUCAUUUGGGUCUCGAAGGCAAAGUUGUAAAUUUAAUACAGGUGGAGCGGAUUUUGGGCCAAAAAGGCUCGGAAACUAGAUUAGGACAGGUAAAAUGGGUCGAAAGCCCAAUUAGACUAGGACAGGUUUCGUUGAUUUGGGUCCAAUGGCCUAAAUCUUUUACUUUCUCCUCCCUUUCCCCUUUUAUGUGUUUAUUUGCUUAUUAGUUUUGUUUAGACUUAGUUAAAAUCCCUCUUAAGUCGCCUAAAUCUAUUUUACACAAGUAUUUUCUAAAAAAUCAAUCACUUUUUCAACAAAUCAAUCUUUUUUUUAGUAAGUCAAAAAGAUGUUUUCAAACAGUUCGGAUAACCGCAAGUUAGCGGACGUUUUAGGUGCCUAAAACCUUCCUAAAACGUUAAUAGGAACCACUUACUCAGAAUCUUCGAAACUUAAAUGAUUUUUCUAUUUUGGAUCGUUUAAAGUAUCAUCUAAAGGUUUCUUAAUUCCUUUUCAAAAUUAAGUGGUGACUUUCAAAAGUCAAAAUUUUCGCAAAAUAAAAUUUUCGCAAAAUAAUGUUUAUUCUUUGUAAAACUUUACGGACAAGCAUGUGAUCAUUAAGCAAAGGCUGAUUGCAUCUAGAUAAGUGCAUUUUCCUUUGAACUUUUCAUAGUGAACAUGCAUCGGAUGCAUUCGGUCAAUUGAUAGGUUUGAUAUCUUGGAGCUGUCGAGCUUUAAUGUAUUCCUAGACAACACGUCACACAAUCAGUCUUUUACCAUUUAUUGUUCUCAUGAUUUUGUUUGUUUCAGUCAUGAACACAUCUCGGUUUCAUAAGAGCUUAGAGAAUAGAUCUUUACUAACAUUCUCUUUGAAGCGGCUUUCACUCCACCCUCACAUAGGUGAUUUCUAAACGCUCAAUCUUAUAGAUUAAACUAUUUGGUUAAAUCUGCCUAUGUAGAUAAUCAUUAAAAAACUUUAUAUCAUAAAUUUUAUCCUUGUUUACUAAACAUUGUCUACGUCAUGAGAAUGGGUUGGGUAUAUUGACAAUGUUGAACCUGUCAGACAUAAUUUUGUUUGAUCUUCUCGAACUUAGCUCUUGGGAUCUCCAGCCUGCUAGGUAGAGUUAUCCCCAUGCUGACUUGUCUUAGGCCAUAAACCCAUUCCUUUGGAUGUUUUCUCAACUCUCUCUCUAGAUAGGCAUUUUGUAAGUUGAUCCGA